AAAGGAGCAAUCCGCUGAUAGAUGGGCUUGCGUCUGAUUAGCUAGUUGGUGGGGCAACGGCCUACCAAGGCGACGAUCAGUAGCCGGACUGAGAGGUUGAACGGCCACAUUGGGACUGAGAUACGGCCCAGACUCCUACGGGAGGCAGCAGUCGGGAAUAUUGCGCAAUGGAGGAAACUCUGACGCAGUGACGCCGCGUAUAGGAAGAAGGUUUUCGGAUUAUAAACUAUUGUCGUGAGGGAAGAAAUUGACAGUACCUCAGGAGGAAGCUCCGGCUAACUAUGUGCCAGCAGCCGCGGUAAUACAUAGGGAGCAAGCGUUAUCCGGAUUUAUUGGGUGUAAAGGGUGCGUAGACGGGAAAUUAAGUUAGUUGUGAAAUCCCUUGGCUUAACUGAGGAACUGCAACUAAAACUGGUUUUCUUGAGUACUGGAGAGGAAAGUGGAAUUCCUAGUGUAGCGGUGAAAUGCGUAGAUAUUAGGAGGAACACCAGUGGCGAAGGCGACUUUCUGGACAGUAACUGACGUUGAGGCACGAAAGUGUGGGGAGCAAACAGGAUUAGAUACCCUGGUAGUCCACACUGUAAACGAUGGAUACUAGGUGUAGGGUGUAUUAAGCACUCUGUGCCGCCGCAAACGCAUUAAGUAUCCCACCUGGGGAGUACGACCGCAAGGUUGAAACUCAAAGGAAUUGACGG
rnacentral:rRNA from 1 species